GCGGGUGUAGCUCAAUGGUAGAGCCCCAGCCUUCCAAGCUGGCCAUGCCGGUUCGAUCCCGGUCACCCGCUCC
rnacentral:tRNA from 1 species